AGCAGCCGCGGUAAUUCCAGCUCCAAUAGCGUAUAUUAAAGUUGUUGCAGUUAAAAAGCUCGUAGUUGAAUUUCGGGGUCAGUAGGCUGGUCGUGCCACAGGUACGUACUGGUCUCACUGAUUCCUCCUUCCUGAUGAACCGUAAUGCCAUUAAUUUGGUGUUGCGGGGAAACUGGACUGUUACUUUGAAAAAAUUAGAGUGUUUAAAGCAGGCUAACGCUUGAAUACAUUAGCAUGGAAUAAUGAAAUAGGACGUUCGAUCCUAUUUUGUUGGUUUCUAGGAUUGACGUAAUGAUUAAUAGGGAUAGUUGGGGGCAUUAGUAUUCAAUUGUCAGAGGUGAAAUUCUUGGAUUUAUUGAAGACUAACUACUGCGAAAGCAUUUGCCAAGGAUGUUUUCAUUAAUCAAGAACGAAAGUUAGGGGAUCGAAGACGAUCAGAUACCGUCGUAGUCUUAACCAUAAACUAUGCCGACUAGGGAUCGGAUGAUGUUAAUUUUUAGUGACUCAUUCGGCGCCUUAC
rnacentral:rRNA from 1 species